UGGGAACCAGCACAGAGCAGAGGGAGGAGGGCCUUUUGGGAGCUCAGAGAAGACUGAUUCCACUUGGGAUGAGACAGGAGGAGAUGAUAUUAUUCCAGCAGACUGGGGUCCACGGGCUGGAGAGAAAGCCCUCUUACCUCUUUCUGAGAAUGCAAUCCUGGUUGUUUCAAGAAAAUUCUGUCCGGGGGCUGGCUCCGUGGUCGAGUGCCCCUGAGGUGUGGCCACCUGGAGAAAGCCCAAGGGAGCCAGCGCCUGGAACCAAGAUCAAGGAUCACCAGCUACACAGUGUCACUAUGUUUAAGCCUCCAACCAAUGGCUUCCCAUCUGGCCGAGGAUAAGCUGCAAGAGCCUCAGUGUCUGCUCCAGAGCCACAUAACCGAGUUUGAAGCCAAGCAAGAUGGUCUGACUCCAACAUCCCCCUCAUUCCUAACCCCUACAAUA
rnacentral:lncRNA from 1 species